UAAAAAUACAGAUUCAUGACCUUGUGUCUAAGUUUCCUAGAACACAGGUAUGAUGCCGUUCCUAUUCUGUCCAGCAUCAUCCUGUAUUCCUCCCCUCCACCUUCUAUGGUAAGAAUCACCUGGACUCCAGUUUGUUCCUCCACCUAGGAAUGGAGGGCCCUCAAGCCUCCCCAACGCUUGGAAAGCAGCCAGAGGACUUCAAAUUUGGUCGAAUUCUAGGAGAAGGCUCCUAUUCAACAGUUGUGCUGGCAAGAGAACAGGCCACAGGGAAGGAAUAUGCUAUGAAGAUUCUGGAGAAGGUGCACAUCCGGAAGGAGAACAAGGCACAUUGCGUGACGCGAGAGAGGGAUAUCAUGUCAAGCUUAGACCAUCCAUUUAUCGUCAAGCUCUACUUCACAUUUCAAGAUGCGAAAAGGUUGUAUUUUGGCAUAAGCUAUGCAAGAAAUGGGGAAUUACUGAAAUACAUUCGCAAAAUAGGCUCCUUCGAUGAGACGUGCACUAGAUUCUACUCUGCUGAAAUAGUAUGUGCAUUACAGUAUUUGCAUUCUAAAGGCAUAAUUCACAGGGACCUCAAACCAGAGAAUAUUUUACUGAAUGAGGACAUGCACAUUCAAAUAACAGACUUUGGAACUGCAAAACAACUCUCAUCAGAUAGUACACAAAACAGAGCAAACUCCUUUGUUGGAACAGCUGAGUAUGUUUCUCCAGAACUACUCACUCAGAAAUCUGCCUGCAAAAGCUCUGACCUUUGGGGUUUAGGCUGUAUCAUCUACCAGUUGGUAGCAGGAUUGCCACCAUUUAGAGCUGGGAAUGACUACCUGAAAUUCCAGAAGAUUAUUAAACUGGAGUAUGAAUUUCCUGAUAAAUUCUUUCCUAAUGCGAAGGAUCUAGUGGAACAGCUUCUGUGCUUGGAUCCCUCCAACCGAUUAGGUUGUGAGGAGAUGGGUGGGUACAACCCACUCAGAGACCAUUUUUUCUUUGAGGCCAUCACAUGGGAGAACCUUCACCUACAGACACCCCCCAAACUCACCCCCUACCUGCCAGCCAUGGCUGAGGAUGAUGAGGACUAUUAUGGAAAUUAUGAUGACCUCCUCAGCCAGUUCAGCAACAUGCAGGUUGUCCAGUCCAGCUCCUUUCAACCACUGUUUGUGGCCAACCCCAGUCCCAUCCCCAACUCCAACCCCGCACAAAGGCCCAACAGCAACAUUGAGCAGUACAUUCAUGACCUGGACAACAACUCCUUUGAGCUGAACCUGCAGUUUUCCACUGAGGUGAAGCAGCUACUGCUUGAGAAGCAAACAAGCAGAAACCCCUGGAAUCAGUUUGUGGAGAAUAAUUUGAUCCUCAAGAUGGGACCAGUGGACAAAAGGAAGGGGCUGUUUGCACGUCGGCGCCAGCUAUUGUUGACCGAGGGACCACACCUUUACUAUGUGGACCCAGUUAACAAGGUUUUGAAAGGAGAGAUCCCCUGGUCCCCCGCACUGCGCCCAGAGGCCAAGAACUUCAAGACCUUCUUUGUCCAUACACCUAACAGAACAUACUAUCUGAUGGACCCGUGUGGGAAUGCUGACAAAUGGUGCAACAAAAUUCAAGAAGUGUGGCAAAAGAUCUAUAACACGCAUUUUAACUCAUGCAUGUAGGUUGGGUACACUAUCUUUUGAAGACAGGUCUUACCCUGUAAUGACAGGAGACAGAGAACGAAGGUGUUAAUUCAUAAAUGGUGGAAAACACCUAGCUGUAAUGUAGCUUACAAGUCGGUUUCCCUAUUACUCCACACAUUUGAUUUCUUGUAGGGCAACAGGUUCAGGGCAUGUUCCAUUGUAAUGCAGAAUUUGAUACAUUCAGCUGGAUCUAAAGCCAUUCUGGUAUAGAAAGGACCUGUUAUUUAAGGAAGUAGAAUGGCUAUUGCAACUAUUCUAACUGAUGAUUUGUUAGGCUUGGAUGGCCUCAUGUCUGACAUGGUGGCCUUGGUACUCUUAAACUAUUUGUCUUCUAUAGCAGAGAAUAAACUUUGGUCAAAACACAUGGGCUGGUGCUGCUUUAAAAAAUAGGAGUUGACUUGGAUGUUGGUUGAACAGUUCAUCAAAAUUGCAAAGGAGAAUGUUGUAGCCUGUUUUUGACUGUUCUCAUUUCUGGGAGAAGUUGAUUGUAAAUGUUAGACAGAUAUUUUGUUUGUUUAUUCUACUGACCAUUGCUGUGAUUUACAAAAUGGGAUGCAAGUAAAGUGUAAGAUGUAUAUUUUGUAUUUGUUUUAGGCUUCUAUCCUUUGCUGAUUAAUCCUCAUGUUAUCCAAACAGUUCAAAUGUGGUAAUCAUUUGGAUAAUGUCCCCGGUUCAUGUUUGCAUAAUUUAAAUGUAAAUCAAUUGAAUGUAAAUAGUUGAUAAUGGUAAAUUAUGAUAUUUUGCUACUUUUCGUUGUAAUCUAUAUUUUAUUUAUGGAUGGUGACGUGGUUAUGUUUUACAUAAAUAUAUGUGGGCCUGGUCUAUUUUGUUGUGUGCAAGUUUCAAAUGGUUAAUUGGAAGAAUGCAGCAUAUAUAUAAGGUGGCUUGGUAAUAAAAGCAUGUGGGAUUUUGGCAAA